rnacentral:rRNA from 1 species
CCUACGGGUGGCAGCAGUGGGGAAUAUUGCACAAUGGGCGCAAGCCUGAUGCAGCCAUGCCGCGUGUGUGAAGAAGGCCUUCGGGUUGUAAAGCACUUUCAGCGGGGAGGAAGGCGUUAAGGUUAAUAACCUUGUCGAUUGACGUUACCCGCAGAAGAAGCACCGGCUAACUCCGUGCCAGCAGCCGCGGUAAUACGGAGGGUGCGAGCGUUAAUCGGAAUUACUGGGCGUAAAGCGCACGCAGGCGGUCUGUCAAGUCGGAUGUGAAAUCCCCGGGCUCAACCUGGGAACUGCAUUCGAAACUGGCAGGCUAGAGUCUUGUAGAGGGGGGUAGAAUUCCAGGUGUAGCGAUGAAAUGCGUAGAGAUCUGGAGGAAUACCGGUGGCGAAGGCGGCCCCCUGGACAAAGACUGACGCUCAGGUGCGAAAGCGUGGGGAGCAAACAGGAUUAGAUACCCGGGUAGUC